CUGGAAAGGCAUAUUCCUCAGCUUCCUAUGGGCCGGCGGUGCGAAGGCCUACAGAGCCACGAGGUCUGCGUGCGGCCCAGGAGCGGCCUGCAGGGUUUGGAAACCCACAGCAGCGGGUCAGACCCGAGGAAAGAAACUGCAAUUGUGGAGAGCACCAGAUGUAAGCCUACGGAAUGGAGAAGUAUUAUUGUGUUUUGUGGGUUCGGGGGGGAUUUUUUUUUUUCUCCUUCUUUUUUUGUUGUUGCUUGUUUGCUUGAUUCUUCUUUUUUUAGUCAAUCCAGAGGACUGACUCAGGGCCUCUCCUUCUCCACAGGCAGAACAGAAGUCUCUGCUGGUUUGCUUGUUGCAAAAGGCCCCCUCU
ensembl:lncRNA